GCCGACUGUUUGUUACAUAUCCUUUCAUCUAUAUAUAUAUUCAUAGUUGCAGGCAUUUAGAAUCAACACAAAUCAUUCACAUCCCAACACAUUUGAAGUUCUAAAGCUUGAGUCUUCUAUAUACAAUUCUUUCUUUUUUAGAUUAAUCUCUUCUUUUCAACACAUACAGAAAUGGGUUUUCGUUUACCUAAUAUCAUCAGAUCAAAGGCAUCAUCUUCAAAAGGUGUCCCAAAGGGAUAUCUAGCUGUGUAUGUAGGAGAGCAAAUGAAGAGUUGGAACGUGUUGUAACCUGGAAGCCACACUUUGGAGUGGCUAGUCGAUGUACCAAAACAAUAAACAAAAAACGGUGAGAACUGCGGCAGCUACGGUUUCGGAAAAGAUUCCAAAACAAAUAUGACCAAACAGAAAACAAACUAUUUCAAGAGCGAACCAGUGGGGUAUCGCUGAACAAAGCCAAGAUGAGCAAUAUCACAGGAAAGGAAAUAUAUACAAUCAAGGACAACCAAAUUAUUCCCUUAUUAACAUCCGGUCGAUGUUUGGUUUCAAGUGUGAGUGGUUAAGUCUCACAUCGACUACAUAUGGGAAGAAUGUUGAGUUUAUAAGAGAGAUGACCCAUUUACCUAAUACCUUAAGGAUUUGGGUUGGGAUAUGGCGUCUCCCUCUCUUGUGGUCCUGGAGCAUUGGUUCAUUGUUUCUCACGAGCUCCCCCGGACUCCCCAACACCUUGGAGUGGCUA